AAGACUUAAACCUGAUAUUGAAGCACUGCUUCAGCUUUUAGUGCCAGAUCUGAAAGCAGUGGGUAAUUAACUACUGUAGAGGGCACAGAGGAGAGACAGGAACAACAGCCUUCACUUACUACUCUGCAGAGCCACAUAGCUCUGGAAAGAGCCUGGCACCCUCCAUCUGGCCUGCACCUGACUGCUCCACCACUCUUCAAGGCUGCUAGCUGAAAGAAGAAGGGAGAGAGCUCCCAAGGUUCUGGUGAUCAUGUCAAACAUCCAGUUCUAGGAGAAAUCGUGGAAGACACUGUGACAAAUUAAAGACAAAAGAGCCAAUGAGCAAGGAAUAAAAAUGACACCCAGGAUUGAUACCCAGAACACAGGAAUGAAGAAACAUCAAAAGGGAAGUGACAAAAAGGGGCAAGAGAUGAAGGAUGGAAGGGAAAUGACAGCAGAAGGCCACUGACUGGAAACUAUGUGUAGUGAGAAAAGAGGAAACAGAGAGGACAAUGUGGAUGUGAGAUGUUGGCAUCUUGAAUUCAACCUAUGACACAACACCCACCAGUGAAAAUACUGGUGGCCUCUAACACCUGAUGAGAGAGGCCUGUAACCUUCUUGAGUUGUGGCUGGACAGCCCAUACAGCCAUUCUUACUGACUGUGACAGAGCAGGAUGAAUAGAUGGCCAUGUAUUCCCUCCCUGCAUGCCACAGGGCAGCUAGGCUCAUUAGGGGCCUGCAUCCAGGCUAUGAGUGCUUCUCAUCCCAGUAACUGUUGGAUGUAUGGAAAAAGUCAAAAGAUGAAUGCCUUGAGUCUGACAAUUUGUGGGAACAAAAGAGCUAUCCUACAGUCAAGUGUCCUCACUCAUCCUUGACUCCAGCUACUCCUAGGCUGCCAUAAAAUGUGUUUGCUUACUCUGUAAGUCCUCAAGACCUUUAUGUAUCUUUCCCAAUGUCAUCCUAUGCUAUAAAUGCCCCAGAUAAUUGGAAAAAUUGCUGCAGGCUGUAAAAAAUUAAAAGGCCUCUCCCCCUCUGAAGAAAUAAUCAUUAUGAUUGGGCCAGUUUUCAAAUUAAAAGUUACAAUCCAUUGGGAAACUAUCAUUUCAAACAUAAUUCUUCCAUUUCCCACCAGCUACAAUAUCACAGACUGGCAGAAUGAGAGCUAAGAAGCUUCAAUUUUAAAAAAAUGGUCCAAUAAUGUCCCAUCUUGACCACAGAACAUCCCUUGUGUCAUAACUAGAACUACCUCAGUUUAAUUGCUGGAAAAUAUUCACAGUAUUCAAUAAUCUUUUUUAUGGGUCAAAUAUUUCAGUCCAUAAAAUCCAGAAGAAUCACAGUUUUCACUUCUCAAGAAACUGAAGCUUUUGCAUGGUGCAGUUCUGACUUACCACUAAGAGCAUCCAGGAUUGGAGAAAAAGGGAAUUAGAAAGACUCAAACAGGUCUUGUGUACUUUGAGUUUUGUGUGAUUCUUCUGGUCCAGGCACAAGUUGUGGGCUUCCUCUCCACCCUGUUUGAUUUUCUGACGAUUUCCAUUUUUCAUUGUUGGAGGUGGUAGUGCUGUACUGAUGUGUUUUACCCAAAGCAAUCCAGGACUCAGAGACUCUGAGGGGUGGCAAACACCACACAGAGGAUUUAUUAUAUUUUUUUCCAUCUGAUUCUUCUGUUGGACAUUUCAAGAGGUCACUUUACUAAAACACUUUGCAGAAAACAAAGAAUGCUUUUUGCUGAGCAUUUAAGUUGCUGCAUUGAGAGACCUUAUAUGCCUCAGCUCAAAAGACUUGACUCCGACAAGUCAGUGGUAUCUUCAGUUCUUACUUCCCUAACCCAAGUAAUAAAAGAUCUUAGAAGGCAGUAAAGGAGAUAUUUUAAGGGCCCCAAGCCAUGUGAACACAAGCCUGUCUGUUUGAGAUCUAACAUCAUGUCCACUUUACAGUGAGAUGUUCAUAUCUCUUCACCCAGGUGUUGCUUCUUUGCACAUUUAGUGUAUUUUACAGGGUCCUUCUGUUCUCUCCCUUGCACUAAAACACUGAAAUGUUGUGUCACUGUGUCCCACCUAACAUACAACAUAAGUGAUGCUUUGUGCCUGUCUGCCUUGCUACAGCCAUCAACCUAUUUAAAUAAAAGAAAAUUAAAAAAAAUUAUAUUUAUUUAAAAUACUUAAAAAAAUAAUAUUUAAAAAAAUAAAA